AUUCCAGCUCCAAUAGCGUAUAUUAAAGUUGUUGCGGUUAAAAAGCUCGUAGUUGGAUUUCUGCUGAGGACGACUGGUCCGCCCCCUGGGUGAGCAUCUGGUUCGGCCUGGGCAUCUUCUUGGGGAACGUAUCUGCACUUGAUUGUGUGGUGCGGUAUCCAGGACUUUUACUUUGAGGAAAUUAGAGUGUUUCAAGCAGGCCCGCGCCUUGAAUACAUUAGCAUGGAAUAAUAAGAUAGGACCUCGGUUCUAUUUUGUUGGUUUCGAACACCGGAGUAAUGAUUAACAGGGACAGUCAGGGGCACUCGUAUUCCGCCGAGAGAGGUGAAAUUCUCAGACCAGCGGAAGACGAACCACUGCGAAAGCAUUUGCCAGGGAUGUUCUCAUCG
rnacentral:rRNA from 1 species